ACGUCAAAUGUUCAUUAAAACUCAAGUAGUUCACUAUGAAAAUCAAGGAGGGGCAAGUAUAGUGUAGCUAAACCUCCUACCAUUUGAAUUGCACUGCAUCAAAGUGAUUUUAAUAAAAUGCGUUGUUAAUUUUUGAAGCUAACAAUUUAUAAUUGGCAUACUUAGUACAACUUAUACAUUGUCUAAUUAUUAAAACGUACACUUAAGUUUAUUUCCCAAUAAUUCAACACAACAAACAGGCUAAUUAUGUGUAUAUUUAAAGUAUUUGUGUAAUUCCUUAAGUAUCUUGAUCACCAUAUAAAUAUUUAUAUGAUGAUUAGUGGUAGUAGUGUUGGAAAUACCCUAUCCUAUUCUUAGAUUGUUAUUGAGUACUAUCUAGGCAAUAGUUCGAUCUCUGUACAAGUCUAUUGAGGAUUUUAUAAUUGUAAUAAUACUUAGGAAAAUCUGAAAAUGGUCUAUAACAAAAUUGUUGUUGUUGGUGCUGGCAUUGUAGGAAUUAACACAGCUUUGGAACUUCAAAGAGUUUAUCCUAAUAUCAAAAUAACAAUCAUAGCUGAUAAAUUUAACAGUGAAACUCUUAGUGAUGGAGCAGCUGGAAUAUUUAGACCUGGAACUUAUUGCUUUGGACCAAGCUUUGAAAUUUCUCAGUUGGUUGAUACCAAUUGGAUUGGUAUAUCCUGGAAAAUUUUUAAGUGCUGUGGUUUUCCGUUGCCUUCUGCACUAGGAACAUGUUUUUUUUGCCAUCACAAAAGCUCACGUAAUGUCACCUAUCCAUUCACCUACAGCAGUAGGUAUAGCUUAACACUAGUUUUGUCAACAACUAGUGUUACCAUUGCGCAACACAAUACCCCGUAUUUAGUGGGUGUCAAAUAAGUGGUGAUUAGGGAUAUAGUUCCCCUCCCAUUGAGAUAUUUUUGUUAACAUUUUAGUACAAUUGACAUUGUAAAAAUGACAAAAUUAUAUGAAACUUUAUGUUAUAAUAGAUAUAAUAUCGAAUUCAAAUGUUAUUGAACAAAACCAAUGUGAAAAAAUCUAUAAAAUUUAUAAAAUUUAAUUUUGAUAGUUAUCUACAUAUAGGAAAAAUGAACGUGAUACUAUUUUAAAAUAUUUUAAAGGUUUGAAAUAGGGUUCUCCUAAUUUGGAAAAAGUCAUUUAUGAACUACCUAAAAUCCCCAUUAAUACCCUGAUAUAGUUAAUAGAAAUAGAAAUAUUACAAUGGUACAGCGCAUAACUCCCACAAAGUUUUUUAGCAUUUAUGUUUUUAAUACUCUCUCGUGGCAAAAUCAAUUGACGGUCAUUGUUUCCUUAUAAGUAAAGAAAUAUUUUAAUAAAUAUUAAAAAUUUGUUUUUAAAAAAUCAUAUGUUUUAAUUUAUAACAUUUCUUCAUAUGAAGAAA